rnacentral:rRNA from 1 species
UAAGUCAGCCACGAAUAGGCUAUCCCAACUAACGGCGGGAAAGACUCCACGGAGGGUGUAAGACCCGUGUGGGCGCGUGUCAAUGCUGUGUGGGCUCGGCCUUUUUCCCUGAGAGUCGCGUUGCUUGAGCUUGCAGCGCUAAGCAGGUCGUAAACUCGAUCUAAGGCUAAAUAUGUCCACAGAACCGAUAGCGAACAAGUACCGUGAGGGAAAGUUGAAAAGCACUCUGGAGAGAGAGUCAAAAGACCGUGAAACCGCUCAGAGUAUAAGCCCAUGGCAGCUUGGAAGGCAUAUCGCUAGCGGGGCAUCGGUCUCCCUUCGCGGGGAGCUGGUGUUACCUUGCUUCUGUUGUGGCUCGUUAUGGUAGGGGGGUCAAGUCCACAUCCCGCCGUCGUGUGGGGAGUUCUUGGGCGCGUCGUGGCUUUGCGGUUGACUUCGGUUGGCCGUAGGGCUCUUCGUGCUUGGUUCUUCUUUAGACACGGACGUUCAGACUCAGUUGCAAGACGCGAUAACCAGCCCACCACGGCACGUUGUGAGGUCACCCUCAGGCUCGACUUUCGAUUGUGGUCCUUGACGCCGAGCAAGCACUGUGCGUGUCGCAGAUUUUCCUAACCAGGCAACGUUUGUCAGGAUCGUGGAACGACACGCGCUCAACAGUCAGGACCGGGCGAUGACAGAGUUCUGGUAUGAUCCUCAUGCGACGAGCCGCCUUCUGGCCGAUUUCCGAUGCUCAGGUCUCCCGCAUGUGCCGCGGGAGAUCGCUUUGACGGUCUGGA